rnacentral:lncRNA from 13 species
UGCAGGUAACCAUUUUAUUCAAACCAAAGAUGAAUAAAAGCUGAUAGAGGACAUCCUUCAGACAUGUCACUUGUAAAAACCAAAGGUAGGACCCGUAGAGAAAAUGAGAGAACCAACAGAGGAAAGAAACCGAAGGAAAAAGGAGAAAAUAAUUGUUCCAAACCACCACCUGCAGUGACAAAUGGAAAAGAAACCGUAGACCAGAAAGAAGAGGUCAAUGGCAAAGGGAAGACUAAAAAGGGAGAGAGUAAAAUGAAAAAGCAAGAGGAGAAUAGCAAGAGAGGUAAAGAGCAGACUAAACAACAGUCGAAAGAGGAGAAAGGUAAGAAAACAGUGAAUGGGAAAAGUCCGAAUGGUAGAUCAUCCCCUCAGAAGGAGAAAAGCAUGACAGUUGAUGGCGGUACGAAUAAAGCUAUCAAAUCUAAACCUGGAUCAAAAAUACCCCAAACCAAAGGAGGGAGGGCAGACACACCUACACCUGUAACAAAGCCUGUAAAAAAAAGAGGUGUCAUAGGGAGUGAAACAGAGGAGACUGAAGAAUCUGAGAGCGAAGGAGAGAGUUCAGUGGAGGAGAGCGAAGAGGAGGAGCUAGUUUGUAUUGAGGAGACAACUGAGACAGAAGGGCUCGAGACAGAGGCGACACAGGAUAGCAGCGGAGAGGAGGUUGAGGUGUCAGACACGGAGAGAAGCACAGAGGGGCAGGUGAAGGAAGAAUCAGCAAAGGAACCUCCAGUAGAGGAGGAAUCAGAAAAAGAACUUCCAGUGCAAAUCAGGAAACGAGGGAAACUUGAAGAGGAGCCAGUCAGUACCAGUGAGGAAGAGGAGGAAGAGGAAGAAUCAGUGGCAGUGACCAGCGAUGGGGGUGAAUCUGAGAAGGUAACUUCAAGGAAAAGAGGGUCGCCCAAGAAAGCCACCGCUGUACCACCACUCAGUUUGACGACCAGCGUCACUGCACCGGCAGGGUGUCUGAAAUCCAAGAUGUUCAUGAAGAAAAAGGGCCAGGCUGAAGAGAAGGUUGACAAACCUAAGAAGGCCCAGAAACCCACGAAAGCAGAGAAGAAGAAAGCUGAGAAAGCAAAGAAAGCUGAGAAAAAGAAAGCAGAAAAAGCUGAGAAAAAGAAAGGGAAAGGGAAACAGAAAGCUACUCCAGCAGAGGAAGAAGCCCAGCCUCUGAAAGAUGUCUCCCUCAGCAAGGCUGACGCUGCAAAACACAAGGCCCAGAUCCUGAAGCUAGCCAAACAAACAAAAACCUCCAUCAAAGACAAGAAUGCUUCGUCUUCCCCAUUGGAGUUGCAGGAGGAUGAGGCUGCCUCAACUUCAUCCAAAGCCCCUAAAGGCCUAUCACGGGUGAUGCUAUUGAAAUCAAAA